GCUCGAUUGGCUCAGCUGGUAGUAGCGUGGGGCUGUUAACCUCAAGGUCAGUGGUUCGAUCCCACUAUCGAGCG
rnacentral:tRNA from 1 species